GCUUUCUAAGAAAACACCCUUUAAGAAAAAGUUUUUUAUAAAAUUAAAGAAAAACUUUCCUGUGAGAGUGUAUUUUUUACUAAGAGUUUGCUCUUUUAUUUGAGAGUUUGCUUUUUUAAGAGUUUUCCGGGGAAGGUUUUCCGGUUUAUCCCGGAGGGCUUGUAGCUCAGUUGGUUAGAGCGCGCGCUUGAUAAGCGUGAGGUCGGAGGUUCAAGUCCUCCCAGGCCCACCAAUUUAGAAUUACCAAUUGGAAUUGCUUAACCCACUGUUGAGAAACUCCCUCCUUUAUGAGAGAAAUCUCUAAAAACAAGAGAAAGCUCUUGAGAGCCUCAAAUGAUAGAUUUGAAAUUCUCAAUAAGAUUUAAACCCAUCAGAUCUAAAUCAAUAAGGUUUAAAAGUGUUGGUAAAAUGUUCAUAAUAUAUUUUAUGAAGAUAUUGAGAGAUUUUUCGGACACUAUUGAUAAAUCUUGGCAAGAAAAUUGAUAAAUAUCGGGAAAUUGAUAAAAAUCGGUUUAGGGGUUAGCG
rnacentral:tRNA from 1 species